UACGUAGGGGGCAAGCGUUGUCCGGAAUCAUUGGGCGUAAAGAGCGUGUAGGCGGCUCGGUAAGUCCGCUCUGAAAGCCCGGGGCUCAACCCCGGGAGGCGGGCGGAUACUGUCGGGCUAGAGUCCGGAAGAGGCGAGUGGAAUUCCUGGUGUAGCGGUGAAAUGCGUAGAUAUCAGGAGGAACACCUGUGGUGUAGACGGCUUUCUGGACCGUAGCUGACGCUGAGACACGAAAGCGUGGGUAGCAAACAGG
rnacentral:rRNA from 1 species